rnacentral:rRNA from 1 species
CCUACGGGUGGCUGCAGUGGGGAAUAUUGGACAAUGGGCGCAAGCCUGAUCCAGCAAUGCCGCGUGUGUGAAGAAGGCCUUCGGGUUGUAAAGCACUUUUAUCAGGAGCGAAAUACUGCGGGUUAAUACCCUGCGGGGCUGACGGUACCUGAGGAAUAAGCACCGGCUAACUUCGUGCCAGCAGCCGCGGUAAUACGAAGGGUGCAAGCGUUACUCGGAAUUACUGGGCGUAGAUCGUGCGUACUCGGUUGAAAUCCCCGGGCUCAACCUGGGAAUGGCGAUGGAUACUGGCGAGCUAGAGUGUGUCAGAGGAUGGUGGAAUUCCCGGUGUAGCGGUGAAAUGCGUAGAGAUCGGGAGGAACAUCAGUGGCGAAGGCGGCCAUCUGGGACAACACUGACGCUGAAGCACGAAAGCGUGGGGAGCAAACAGGAUUAGAUACCCUGGUAGUC